rnacentral:rRNA from 1 species
AUUGAACGCUGGCGGCAUGCCUUACACAUGCAAGUCGAACGGCAGCACGGGAGCAAUCCUGGUGGCGAGUGGCGAACGGGUGAGUAAUAUAUCGGAACGUGCCCAGUAGUGGGGGAUAGCCCGGCGAAAGCCGGAUUAAUACCGCAUGAGACCUGAGGGUGAAAGCGGGGGAUCGCAAGACCUCGCGCUAUUGGAGCGGCCGAUAUCAGAUUAGCUAGUUGGUGGGGUAAAGGCCUACCAAGGCAACGAUCUGUAGUUGGUCUGAGAGGACGACCAGCCACACUGGGACUGAGACACGGCCCAGACUCCUACGGGAGGCAGCAGUGGGGAAUUUCGGACAAUGGGCGCAAGCCUGAUCCAGCAAUGCCGCGUGCAGGAAGAAGGCCU